rnacentral:rRNA from 1 species
AAACUGCGAAUGGCUCAUUAAAUCAGUUAUCGUUUAUUUGAUAGUACCCUACUACAUGGAUACCUGUGGUAAUUCUAGAGCUAAUACAUGCGCAAAACCCCGACUUCGGAAGGGGUGUAUUUAUUAGAUAAAAAACCAAUGCCCUUCGGGGCUCCUUGGUGAUUCAUAAUAACUUAACGAAUCGCAUGGCCUUGCGCCGGCGAUGGUUCAUUCAAAUUUCUGCCCUAUCAACUUUCGAUGGUAGGAUAGUGGCCUACCAUGGUGGCAACGGGUAACGAGGAAUUAGGGUUCGAUUCCGGAGAGGGAGCCUGAGAAACGGCUACCACAUCCAAGGAAGGCAGCAGGCGCGCAAAUUACCCAAUCCCGAUCCGGGGAGGUAGUGACAAUAAAUACUGAUAUAGGGCUCUUUUGGGUCUUAUAAUUGGAAUGAGUACAAUCUAAAUCCCUUAACGAGGAACAAUUGGAGGGCAAGUCUGGUGCCAGCAGCCGCGGUAAUUCCAGCUCCAAUAGCGUAUAUUAAAGUUGUUGCAGUUAAAAAGCUCGUAGUUGAACCUUGGGCCCGUCCUGCCGGUCCGCCUCAC